AAGUCAACAAGUCACAGGAGUAUUGGACUGCACAUAUUGAAUGCCAAACCUCCCUCCUUCCUUCCCUUGAAAUUGCCACUACAUAUGAUGUUACAUGGGAAAAAAUAGGAAAUAAAACAUUAAUUUUUACUUCCAAAAAUUUGUUUGAAUAUUAGACACCACAAAAUUUUCUGAACUGGACAUACUCAUCUAAAAGUUUUCACUGCCAAGGAAUUAAGAAGUAACAUUAAGAAAACAUAGAUGAGAACACCUAUAAGAAAAUUUCUGAGAGAAAAACAGAUUGCCUAACAGCGACUUUAGAGAGAUGAAAUAAUAGAAUGCCUAAAAAGAGAUUUCGACAGGCUUAUAUACAAAUUUAACCUAAUGUUACUUUCAACCAAUGAACAAUUCAAAAUAACCAACACUGAAAUGGAGUUAGUAAUCAAACACUAAGGCUAAUCCAAAAAGGAAGAAGACAAAGCAAGCAAAUAAUAGAUAAAAUGCGCAAGUGUUCAUUGGCAUAACUAAUAUGAUUGUUGUGCUAGCAAGAGCAGUGAAUAGAAAUCAUUCUUCCUGCUUUUUUGUCAAAUCACCUUUAAACACUAUGCUAGCAUAAAGUGAAUGUAAGCCUGCACAUACAUGGGCAUGACCACAUCUAGACUAUAAAAUAUAGAGGUCAUCGACACAGAAUAAAUCUACAACCUUAACUCUAAUAAACAUGAGAUUUAGAUAAACGAUAAUCUAAAGUAUAUCAGCAUU
rnacentral:misc_RNA from 1 species